GUCUGUUUGUAGGUAUAAAAAGUCUAACCUGCCCACUGAUAAUUUUUAAAGGGCCGCGGUAAUCUGACCGUGCAAAGGUAGCAUAAUCGUUAGUUUCUUAAUUGGAAUCUUGUAUGAAUGGUUGAACAAAAGAAUAACUGUCUUUAUAUUUUUUCUUGAAUUUAACUUUUAAGUGAAAAGGCUUAAAUACUUUAAAAAGACGAUAAGACCCUGUAAAGCUUGAUAAAUUUUAUUAUUUAAUUAAAUUAUGCAUACAAUAUAAAAAUUUAGUAAAAAUGAUUUAUUUUAUUGGGGCGAUAACGAUAAAAUGUUUUUAACUGUUUGUAGAAAAAAACAAAAUUAGAUGUUAUGAAAUAUGUAAAUGAUCCUUAUAUUAAGAUUAAAAGUUUAAGUUACUUCAGGGAUAACAGCGUUAUUUUUUUUGAGAGUUCAUAUCGAAAGAAAAGUUUGCGACCUCGAUGUUGAAUUAAAAUUCCUAUAUAAUUGCAGAAGUUAUAUUAGAGGGUCUGUUCGACCUUUAAAUUUUUACAUGAUUUGAGUUCAGACCGGCGUAAG
rnacentral:rRNA from 1 species